AGAGUUUGAUCCUGGCUCAGAUUGAACGCUGGCGGCAUGCCUAACACAUGCAAGUCGAACGGCAGCAUGGAGAGCUUGCUCUCUGAUGGCGAGUGGCGAACGGGUGAGUAAUACAUCGGAACGUGUCCGUUUGUGGGGGACAACCGUCCGAAAGGAUGGCUAAUACCGCAUAAGACCUGAGGGUGAAAGCCGGGGACCGCAAGGCCCGGCGCAGACGGAGCGGCCGAUGAUUGAUUAGCUAGUUGGGGAGGUAAAGGCUCACCAAGGCGACGAUCAAUAGCUGGUCUGAGAGGACGACCAGCCACACUGGAACUGAGACACGGUCCAGACUCCUACGGGAGGCAGCAGUGGGGAAUUUUGGACAAUGGGGGCAACCCUGAUCCAGCCAUGCCGCGUGCGGGAAGAAGGCCUUCGGGUUGUAAACCGCUUUUGUCAGGGACGAAAAGCUCCGGAGUAAUAUGCCGGAGUGCUGACGGUACCUGAAGAAUAAGCACCGGCUAACUACGUGCCAGCAGCCGCGGUAAUACGUAGGGUGCGAGCGUUAAUCGGAAUUACUGGGCGUAAAGCGUGCGCAGGCGGUUGGGUAAGACAGAUGUGAAAUCCCCGGGCUUAACCUGGGAACUGCAUUUGUGACUGUCCGACUGGAGUACGUCAGAGGGGGGUGGAAUUCCACGUGUAGCAGUGAAAUGCGUAGAUAUGUGGAAGAACACCGAUGGCGAAGGCAGCCCCCUGGGACGCAACUGACGCUCAUGCACGAAAGCGUGGGGAGCAAACAGGAUUAGAUACCCUGGUAGUCCACGCCCUAAACGAUGUCUGCUGGUUGUUGGGAAUUUAAUUCUCAGUAACGAAGCCAACGCGUGAAGCAGACCGCCUGGGGAGUACGGUCGCAAGAUUAAAACUCAAAGGAAUUGACGGGGACCCG
rnacentral:rRNA from 1 species